GUCUGCGUAGCUCAGUGGGAUAGAGCACAGGAUUCCUAAAGAAUUGGGCACCUUCAGGAGAAAUCCUAAAAGUGAAUCUGCUCAAAUUCGGGGAAAGCUUCACAGGAAUUUGUAUGUCAAUCCCGAGCCAAGUCUCUUUUUAAAUAAAGAGAAAGGUGUAGAGACUGAACGGGCAGCACCUAAGAAGCGUAAGCUUUAAGGUGAAGAGACAGUCCAGACCACAAACGGUUUUUCUGAUAAAGCUGGCGAUGAAAAUCGAAGUGGUAUGAAUCCUGGGGUCGUAGGUUCGAAUCCUGCCGUAGACGCCA
rnacentral:tRNA from 1 species